UGCAAUGAUGAUUCAUUAGACUAGAGUCUCUGAUGACAACAUGAAGCUCUUUAUAUUUCUGAGCA